rnacentral:tRNA from 1 species
GAAAGUGGCAGAGUGGUUAUGUGGCUGGCUUGAAACCAGUUUAUGGGGGUUCAAUUCCCUCUUUUCUC